rnacentral:rRNA from 1 species
CGUAGGGUGCGAGCGUUAAUCGGAAUUGCUGGGCGUAAAGCGUGCGCAGGCGGUUUUGUAAGCCAGAUGUGAAAUCCCCGGGCUCAACCUGGGAAUGGCAUUUGGGACUGCAAGGCUUGAGUGCGGCAGAGGAGACUGGAAUUCCUGGUGUAGCAGUGAAAUGCGUAGAUAUCAGGAGGAAUACCGAUGGCGAAGGCAGGUCUCUGGGCUGACACUGACGCUCAUGCACGAAAGCGUGGGGAGCAAACAGGAUUAGAUACCCUGGUAGUCCACGCCCUAAACGAUGUCGACUGGUUGUUGGGGGUUUGACACUCUCAGUAACGAAGCUAACGCGUGAAGUCGACCGCCUGGGGAGUACGGCCGCAAGGUUA